rnacentral:rRNA from 1 species
CGCGGCCUAUCAGCUUGUUGGUGGGGUAAUGGCCUACCAAGGCAUCGACGGGUAGCUGGUCUGAGAGGACGAUCAGCCACACUGGGACUGAGACACGGCCCAGACUCCUACGGGAGGCAGCAGUGGGGAAUCUUGCGCAAUGGGCGAAAGCCUGACGCAGCAACGCCGCGUGGGGGAUGAAGGCCCUCGGGUUGUAAACCCCUUUCAGCAGGGACGAAAAUGACGGUACCUGCAGAAGAAGCCCCGGCCAACUACGUGCCAGCAGCCGCGGUAACACGUAGGGGGCGAGCGUUGUCCGGAAUUAUUGGGCGUAAAGAGCUCGUAGGCGGUUUGGUAAGUCAGAUGUGAAAACUCCGGGCUCAACCCGGAGACGCCAUCUGAUACUGCCAUGACUAGAGUCCGGUAGGGGAGCGUGGAAUUCCUGGUGUAGCGGUGAAAUGCGCAGAUAUCAGGAGGAACACCAGCGGCGAAGGCGGCGCUCUGGGCCGGUACUGACGCUGAGGAGCGAAAGCGCGGGGAGCAAACAGGAUUAGAUACCCUGGUAGUCCACGCCGUAAACGGUGGGUACUAGGUGUGGCGUCUUUAUCAACGGAUGCCGUGCCGAAGCUAACGCAUUAAGUACCCCGCCUGGGGAGUACGG